rnacentral:lncRNA from 1 species
CCGCGGGUUCCUCUGGGAAGUGGCUCAGAGCUUGUCACAGAAGGAAGAUAAUUCACACGGGAUGUGGUCAUCCAAGGCUGGCCUCAGACGGGAGCCUGCCUAGAACUUUGCGAGGAAGGCCCAAGUUGCAGGU